CUGGAUGUGGUGUUGUGAGCAACUCCCACAGUUCUCGACUCGAGAUAAGUGGUGACACGGAAGGCAUCUGGUUCUACGCAAUUACGAUAAGGCGGAUUUUUGUUCUUCAACGUACACGGACUGGUAGACGAAGCCUACGAAUGGUGAGCGUGAUCUUCUUUCGCAGUGACCGUCUGGGCUUUCUCAUUCGGCUCUGCAACAAGGGGCCUCAGUUAAGAGUUCGUUAGCGAAACGUUAGCGUUCCUAAACGGUAUAGUUGUUUCGCUGUAGCUAUAAGCUAGACAGAUGAAGAUGGCAGGCUUCAAGAGGAGCUACGCGCAUUUGUCUUCGAGCAGCUUUAAGUUAGGCUUAACUGAGCCCCCAUUCUGUUCGUCACAGAGCAACGGUCCUUGUAACGUGCUGACGCAGUUGGGCUUUGACGAACGGAAUGUUUUCUUUUUCUUACGCCAACCGAAGAGGAACUUCGCGUUUCAGUUCGUAAGCCAAAUGGGUGUUACGCCAAAGGUAAGCGAUAAACUUCUGUAUCCACCUUCGAUUUCCAAUUCCAUCGUGGUUAGGGUUAGCUUAUGGUCGCGCUGCUAGGUGUGAUGCGCGAGGUAUCUCUUCGGCUUAAGUUUGUAACUCGGCCACUUUUCCUAAUAAAAUGGUGUUCCUUUGUGUGUUUCUUCACUCGUACCCCUUUGACGCAAACAUGCACUAGCUUACUGGUUGAGGCAGGUACAUUUUGGGCUGCCCCCUUUGCCUCGUCCUUUUGCUUUGUCCUUUUAUUAGAUUUGUGUCUCUUGUAUUUUCCCGCCAUUUCAAUAAAGCCUUGCUUCCUCAUCUUGACUUUUUCUUCAAUCCCUGAUACGCAAACAUGCACUAGCUUACUGGUUGAGGUAGGUACAUUUUCACUACCCCCUUUCCCUUGCAGAGACUAUAGUCAUGUACUGCAGCGCAGCCUAGUUUCCCUGGUUCAUGGGAGGACACCGUCCGGCAGUGCCAUGCCCCCACUGGAACCUCGUGAAGUAUCUCACUUUGUUCAACUAACGACACUGGCUAAUUAUUUGCUUCUUUCUGCAGGUACUGUUCCCUACGGUAUGGAGACAAGGGGGCGAAAAGAGCCUUGAAGCCUUUUGUGUAUUGUUCCUUUAUUGCUAUUGCUUGUUGCGAAAUAAACACGUUUCUGAGA